rnacentral:rRNA from 1 species
UAACGAAUCUUCCGCAAUGCACGAAAGUGUGACGGAGCGACGCCGCGUGCAGGAUGAAGUCCUUCGGGAUGUAAACUGCUGUCAGGGGAAAGAAAGUUCUGAUCUACCCCAAAGGAAGAGGCGGCUAACUCUGUGCCAGCAGCCGCGGUAAGACAGAGGCCUCGAGCGUUAGACGGAAUCACUGGGCUUAAAGCGUGUGUAGGCGGGUCGUUAAGUACCUUGUGAAAUCCCACGGCUUAACUGUGGAACUGCUUGGUAUACUGGCGAUCUUGAGCCACUUAGGGGCUACCGGAACAGAUGGUGGAGCGGUGAAAUGCGUAGAUAUCAUCUGGAACGCCAAUGGUGAAAAACAGGUAGCUGGGAGUGUGCUGACGCUGAGACACGAAAGCCAGGGGAGCGAACGGGAUUAGAUACCCCGGUAGUCCUGGCCCUAAACGAUGUCCACUAGAUCGUGGCGGCUCUGACGUCGUCACGGUCGAAGC